rnacentral:rRNA from 1 species
AUGAUAGAGCGCUUCCAGGGCGAAGAGAAGAUCUACCACAGUUUUGAUAUUGCAGAGGAUGAUCCACACGACUAUUAUGCCCCCAAGUUCCUGAACAACCAGACUCCCAACGGGCUGCCUCCACAUGCGCUCAAACUGAAGAUAAAUUGCCCCGUUAUACUGUUGAGAAACAUUGAUCCAGCUAAUGGGUUGUGUAACGGCACAAGGCUUGUGGUCCGGGGUUUCCAGAGGAACGCCAUCGACGCAGAAAUCGUGCUAGGACAACAUGCUGGUAGGAGGGUGUUCCUUCCUCGGAUACCUCUCUGCCCAUCCGAUGACGAUAUAUUUCCUUUCAAGUUCAAGAGGAAGCAGUUCCCUAUUAGGCUCAGUUUUGCCAUGACAAUCAACAAGGCGCAAGGGCAGACCAUCCCGAUUGUCGGGGUGUACCUACCGGACCCGAUAUUCUCUCACGGUCAGCUCUACGUCGCAUUGUCUAGAGCCACCGCAAAGAGGAAUAUUAAGAUUCUCGCCAUCAAGGACAAUGGCAACGGUAAGGGUAAGGGCAAGGGCAAGGAACAAAUCAAGAAUUCAAAUAAGCGAAAAAGAUCUGAGCCCUUUUUAAUGACCAUGAAGAACAUAGUCUACAAGGAAGUCCUUAGCACAUGA